GCCAUAGCUUAGUGGCAAAGCAUCUGCCUUACAUGCAGAAUGUCCCAGGUUCAAUCCCUGGCAGCUGCA